AGCAGCCCACAGUCCAAACCUGGAAUUACUGCCACAUUUAGGGUGGUGGUAGCUAGCAUCAGUAAGCACACUUGUGCUCUAUCCAUCAGAAUAGAGUAUAUGGAGAGUGAGUCUAGGUGCAAGCACCUUUUGACAUUUUCGUCAUUUCAUUUGUGUCUGCAUUCGUUAACAAGCCCUAAACGCCUUCAGAUAGUGCCCUGGCUGGAAUCUUACCUAGGACCCUAGUGCUGCAAAGGAACAAUACUAACCACUGCACCACCAUAAUAAUGCCAAGAACCACUGGUAUUUAUGAGAAUUAAGUUACAACCCCAACUGGAGAUUUAAAGAAAUGUCUAAAAACUGAAAAAAACACAACUGAAAAAAGUUUUGAAGAUUGUUAUUGAAGGGGCCCAGCUGGAGUACCAAGGGCCAGAUAUGUCCACCAUGCAGUGGCCCCCAAAAUGCUAUGGACAGUUAAAAUAACCCAGGAAAAGGCCAUGGGUAGGACACUUUGAGUUGUCUCCUCUUCACUUGGGAAAAUAGAUAUCCCUCUUGUCCCAGGUAUGAGUUUAAAUGACAUAAGGAAGAUGCCCUCAAAAACCAAGGCAGUAUUUAGCUCCAGUGCCACCCUAGGCACCGCACCUAUCUGUGCCCCUACAUUGCAGAAGUGAUGUCACGCGUACAGGUAAGCAUGACAUCACUCACCAGCUCUGUGGAUCACCUUGGGAACCCUCCCUCCCCCCCACUCCACUGCCCGUAUUUGCCCAGGUAGUACCUUGUGCUUUUUUUUGGGGUGCACUUUUUCCACUGAUGAAGAGGGCGAGAAGCCAUUGAAACAUUUGGUCUGUAUGUGCACUCUGCAAUAAACAAGUUGGAGGUAUUUUUUACACCAGCUAAAAUCGUUUUGCGUGCCUUUCCUCUCCUUUUUCUUUUGCUAUACACACUUUGGAGCCAGGUGCACCUGAAGGAUUUGCACCAACAGACAAUUAAUUGAAUUUAACAAAGGGGAACAGCGAGUGUAUGGACUUUCAUUGUUUGCUACAGGUAGUACCUUGCGGAGGCAUGCAAAGUAUGCAUUGAUUUACCAAAGUAUGUGAUAUGAAUAUGCAUAUACACACAUUUACACAGACAUACAUGCAUUUACAAGUCGCAGAAUGUGCGUGGAUGGGGGCAGGGGGGCUGUAAGCGGAAGCACUGACAGCAGACAUGUGGACGAUCAUGUCUGCUGUUAGAAAUGGGUCGGGGGCAAAAGCCGCCAAUGCAGAGAGAAAACCUUUACCGCAAAGAAUGUAGGUACUACUUUCUUGGUAAGUAAACCCUCUCCUGUAGUUUCCACGUUCUUGACAGGUAAGGGGUUAAAGAGAAGCUUUAGCGAAAAUGCCAAUUUAAUGUGAGCUUCAUCUCAUGGGAAAAAUCAACAUUAUAAACACAAUCAGAUACAAAUGAUGCACUAUUUCCACAUACAAUGAAACAAGUUAUUCUUCACUAUCCCUUUCUCAACAACUUGUCUCUCUACAUUCAGCUUUCGUUAUUUUGAAAGACACUUUGCAAAAUAGGCAAAGAAAGAUAAUUUUUUUUUCUAGUUCCCCUUUAAAUGUAUCUGUGCUUUCUAGUUUAGUCAGUGAGACUGUAGGGCUUUGUUCUAAGCACUGAAAGGUAUAGGCCCUGAACCUUUAGAGGUGUUCCAACCAAAUCUCUUAAGAUAUUCUGCCAUAUAUUGGUUGAGUUAAUGUACUCCAUUGCACACAUUAUUAUGAAUAAGAAAUCUUAAAGCGGUCGGUAAGUUUUUAGUAUGAUGUACGAGUGACAUUUUGAGACACUUUACUAUUGGUCUUCAUUUUUUUUAUUCAUAGUUUUUUAGGUAUUUCAUGUUCAGUUCAGCAGCUCUCCAGUUUGGAGUUUCAGCAGCUAUUUCGUUACUAGGGUCCAAGUUGCCUUAGCGAUAAUGUAUAAUUUACCAAUAACAGUAAAACUGCAGCCUCACAGAGCAACUGUUUUUUUUUCACUUCUGGGGCCAGUGACCCC